GUAGGCGGCAAGCGUUGUCCGGAAUUAUUGGGCGUAAAGCGCGCGCAGGCGGUCCUUUAAGUCUGAUGUGAAAGCCCACGGCUCAACCGUGGAGGGUCAUUGGAAACUGGGGGACUUGAGUACAGAAGAGGAAAGCGGAAUUCCAAGUGUAGCGGUGAAAUGCGUAGAGAUUUGGAGGAACACCAGUGGCGAAGGCGGCUUUCUGGUCUGUAACUGACGCUGAGGCGCGAAAGCGUGGGGAGCAAACAGGAUUAGAUACCCUGGUAGUCCACGCCGUAAACGAUGAGUGCUAAGUGUUAGGGGGUUUCCCGCCCCCCUUAGUGCUGCAGCUAACGCAUUAAGCACUCCGCCUGGGGAGUACGGCCGCAAGGCUG
rnacentral:rRNA from 1 species